UACGUAGGGCGCAAGCGUUGUCCGGAAUUAUUGGGCGUAAAGAGCUCGUAGGCGGUUUGUCGCGUCUGUCGUGAAAGCUUGGGGCUUAACCCCAAGUCUGCGGUGGAUACGGGCAGACUAGAGGCAGGUAGGGGAGAACGGAAUUUCCGGUGUAGCGGUGAAAUGCGUAGAUAUCGGAAGGAACAUCAGUGGCGAAAGCGACUUCCUGGACCAAUACUGACGCUCAUGUGCGAAAGCGUGGGGAGCAAACAGG
rnacentral:rRNA from 1 species